UAGAAAAAAGAAUAUAUCACGGUUUUGAAAAGUUGCGCGUUCUACUCUUUUUUAUUUCUGUGAAAUGGGGGACCCAACUUUGCAAAAUGAUUGCCAUUUUCGAUCAAAUUCCUGAUGUCUGUUUACUUUGAAACGUGGAGACUACGUAAGGUAUUGUAACUGAGUCUGAGAGUUAGUGCAACAACAACCGUUUGUUGUCGGCAAUGAAAGUUCCAACCAAUGACUGUAAAACAUCACAAGGAUUUUGUCACAUGUAUAACAUGAUUGUGGGUAUAACCAAAUCCACAACUGAGAAAGAAAUUGUUGCUCAUGACUCAUGAGAAUCGUUCUCCCUGUCUGUUGUCUUGUUCAGUGUGAUCUGGGAUGUCACCUAGGAAAGAUUGACUGGUAUCUCUAAAAUACGCGUGAACAGCGCGAGUUGUUUCUAAAAUACAUGCGAACAUGGUUGGUGCAUCUUUUUAUCAACUGGCAGGGGCUAUGAGACUAUAGGGCUA